UGUCAGGUCAUGGGUGCUGUGCCUCAGUAUCACCAGGGUGCUGUCAGGACCAGGGACAGAUCAGGAGGUGAAGGAAAUGUUUGCUUCAUGAGAAAAUGAGAGGGGGCUGCAAACUCCAAGACCCAGGAAUGCCUCUCCAUGGCUUCACACAUAUGUCCUACGGGUGGAGAUGGGGCUUGCUGAAGCAGGUUACUCCAAAGCACCUGCCACCUCAAGGGAGCCAACCUGGACAGCUGGAAAAAAGGAUGGCCUGGAGGUCUCAGAUCCAGUAGAACUUGGCCAGACCUGCUCAUUGCUUGGU
rnacentral:lncRNA from 1 species